AGUCCAUACAGUAUGUUAUUAUUGUUGACUAGAGGUCUGAGUCCAUACAGUAUGUUAUUGACUAGAGGUCUGAGUCCAUACAGUAUGUUAUUGUUGACUAGAGGUCUGAGUCCAUACAGUAUGUUAUUAUUGUUGACUAGAGGUCUGAGUCAAUACAGUAUGUUAUUGACUAGAGGUCUGAGUCCAUACAGUAUGUUAUUAUUGUUGACUAGAGGUCUGAGUCCAUACAGUAUGUUAUUAUUGUUGACUAGAGGUCUGAGUCCAUACAGUAUGUUGUUGACUAGAGGUCUGAGUCCAUACAGUAUGUUAUUAUUGUUGACUAGAGGUCUGAGUCAAUACAGUAUGUUAUUGACUAGAGGUCUGAGUCCAUACAGUAUGUUAUUAUUGUUGACUAGAGGUCUGAGUCCAUACAGUAUGUUAUUAUUGUUGAAUAGAGGUCUGAGUCCAGACAGUAUGUUAUUAUUGUUGACUAGAGGUCUGAGUCCAUACAGUAUGUUAUUAUUGUUGACUAGAGUUCUGAGUCCAUACAGUAUGUUGUUGACUAGAGGUCUGAGUCCAUACAGUAUGUUAUUAUUGUUGACUAGAGGUCUGAGUCCAUACAGUAUGUUAUUAUUGUUGACUAGAGGUCUGAGUCAAUACAGUA